CACGUGGGUAACCUGCCCAUCAGAAGGGGAUAACACUUGGAAACAGGUGCUAAUACCGUAUAACAAUCGAAACCGCAUGGUUUUGAUUUGAAAGGCGCUUUCGGGUGUCGCUGAUGGAUGGACCCGCGGUGCAUUAGCUAGUUGGUGAGGUAACGGCUCACCAAGGCCACGAUGCAUAGCCGACCUGAGAGGGUGAUCGGCCACAUUGGGACUGAGACACGGCCCAAACUCCUACGGGAGGCAGCAGUAGGGAAUCUUCGGCAAUGGACGAAAGUCUGACCGAGCAACGCCGCGUGAGUGAAGAAGGUUUUCGGAUCGUAAAACUCUGUUGUUAGAGAAGAACAAGGAUGAGAGUAACUGUUCAUCCCUUGACGGUAUCUAACCAGAAAGCCACGGCUAACUACGUGCCAGCAGCCGCGGUAAUACGUAGGUGGCAAGCGUUGUCCGGAUUUAUUGGGCGUAAAGCGAGCGCAGGCGGUUUCUUAAGUCUGAUGUGAAAGCCCCCGGCUCAACCGGGGAGGGUCAUUGGAAACUGGGAGACUUGAGUGCAGAAGAGGAGAGUGGAAUUCCAUGUGUAGCGGUGAAAUGCGUAGAUAUAUGGAGGAACACCAGUGGCGAAGGCGGCUCUCUGGUCUGUAACUGACGCUGAGGCUCGAAAGCGUGGGGAGCAAACAGGAUUAGAUACCCUGGUAGUCCACGCCGUAAACGAUGAGUGCUAAGUGUUGGAGGGUUUCCGCCCUUCAGUGCUGCAGCUAACGCAUUAAGCACUCCGCCUGGGGAGUACGACCGCAAGGUUGAAACUCAAAGGAAUUGACGGGGGCCCGCACAAGCGGUGGAGCAUGUGGUUUAAUUCGAAGCAACGCGAAGAACCUUACCAGGUCUUGACAUCCUUUGACCACUCUAGAGAUAGAGCUUCCCCUUCGGGGGCAAAGUGACAGGUGGUGCAUGGUUGUCGUCAGCUCGUGUCGUGAGAUGUUGGGUUAAGUCCCGCAACGAGCGCAACCCUUAUUGUUAGUUGCCAUCAUUCAGUUGGGCACUCUAGCAAGACUGCCGGUGACAAACCGGAGGAAGGUGGGGAUGACGUCAAAUCAUCAUGCCCCUUAUGACCUGGGCUACACA
rnacentral:rRNA from 1 species